rnacentral:rRNA from 1 species
GUCCUUCUCCUUGUGAUUGCGGGUUCGCUUUUCAGGAGCUAAAAAAUAGCAGAAUGAUAGAAUUCAUAAGAAAACGGGAACGAUCGGUAAUGAACAAGGGUUGUAGGGAAUUGUUAAACAGGGAAUAGAAUCACGAAAUCGUUAAAUACAGGCGAAAUAUUGAGGUGAUUACGCACAAACCAAAUAGGAAAACACAGCAUUAGGCGGAUAUGGUGAAAGAGCGAUGGCUCAUAGAUGAUCCAAUAUUUUCAUAUGCUGAGAAAAAUGAGGUUUUGAGUGAAAACUCAUUACUGAAAAGUGAAAUGGUGCAAACUUGUGGCUCGCCAAUAUCCAUAUUUUAAUAGAAAAUAACCGACAAUUAACCGAUUAAUUCCGGUUGAUCCUGCCGGCGCCACUGCUAUCAGUUCGGCUAGCAUGCGAGUCUAGGGAUCGCAAGAUACCGGCAUACUGCUCAGUAACACGCGGAUAAUCUG